rnacentral:tRNA from 1 species
GCAGGAUUAGUAUAGAGGUAAUACGCAUCCUUCCCAAGGAUGAGUCGCGAGUUCGAUUCUCGUAUCCUGCUCCA